UACGGAGGAUGCGAGCGUUAUCCGGAUUUAUUGGGUUUAAAGGGUGCGCAGGCGGGUUCUUAAGUCAGUGGUGAAAUCUAGGGGCUCAACCUCUAAACUGCCAUUGAAACUGGGUACCUUGAGUAUGGAUGAAGUAGGCGGAACUCGUUGUGUAGCGGUGAAAUGCAUAGAUAUAACGAAGAACCCCGAUUGCGUAGGCAGCUUACUAAACCAUAACUGACGCUCAAGCACGAAAGCGUGGGUAUCAAACAGG
rnacentral:rRNA from 1 species